UGGGAAGUAUUGGGCAAUGGGCGCAAGCCUGACCCAGCAACGCCGCGUGAAGGAAGAAGGCUUUCGGGUUGUAAACUUCUUUUCUGAGGGACGAUAGUGACGGUACCUCAGGAAUAAGCCACGGCUAACUACGUGCCAGCAGCCGCGGUAAUACGUAGGUGGCAAGCGUUAUCCGGAUUUACUGGGUGUAAAGGGCGUGUAGGCGGGAUGGUAAGUCAGAUGUGAAAACUAUGGGCUCAACCCAUAGCCUGCAUUUGAAACUAUCGUUCUUGAGUGUUGGAGAGGCAGGCGGAAUUCCGUGUGUAGCGGUGAAAUGCGUAGAUAUACGGAGGAACACCAGUGGCGAAGGCGGCCUGCUGGACAAUAACUGACGCUGAGGCGCGAAAGCGUGGGGAGCAAACAGGAUUAGAUACCC
rnacentral:rRNA from 1 species